ensembl:lincRNA
UAAAAAUCCUACAGUCGUGGAGGCAGGCAGACCAAAUGAUCGGAAUAAGAACCUAGAGAGGCUGGCCUCAGGCGGUCGAAGGAAAUAAAAGACAAGAUCUAAUCGCAACAACCAAACACAAGGUCUCAUCACAAAACAUAUUCCCUCCAAUCCGGGACCCGGAAGCAGUCAAUUAGCCGGGUCCGGGACACAGAAGAUACUGAAGUACAGAAAUGAUCCUGAAGCUAAGGCCUCAGCCCUCAGCCUCGACUUUGAACAAUGGCACUGACACCAGAAGUGUGAAAGACAAGGGGAUGUGGCUGGAGGCUCUAUUUUUAGGAACACGGGUCUUGAGACAACAGUGCGCUGUCAUCCUGGAGCUGAGGCGGGUGACAUUGCACGUGACAUCGCAUAAACAGCACACUCUUCAUCCACAACAAUUCAAAGGUUUUGAAAACAAACUGAAAUGGCAGGAAGAAGUCUCCAGUUUUCUCUGGAAUCCUGCCUUCUCUGUUUGCAAACUUCCACAUUUUAUUCCGACAGCACAACACAUGACCCAGAAUUUGGCAAAGGACGAAAAGAAAAGCCCAGAAAAAAACAGAACAAAAAAGGACCAAGUACUGAUGACUUCAUUUUCUGAACUGAGAUCGCACUGCUGCAGUUCAGACAUGCUUGAGAGGGAGCCUGGCAUGUCUUUAACACCACAGUCAUCACAGAUCUCACCACAGUCAGGAGCUACACAGCACCUACUUGGCCUCAGCAGUGCCAAAACUGCCAUGAGCCAUGUCUUAUCAAAUUCCACCAUAUCAUUCCUGCAAACUACACAGUUCCCAAAGUGUAUAACAAAAUUAGAGAGUAUAUAGUAUAGAGAGUAAGAAACAAAAACAAUCUUACAGAAGGAAUCAAAAUGACCAGGCUUGUACAAUAACAAAGAUCAUAGGCCCAAUCACUCUUGAUUUCCAGUUUCCCAACUUUUACUCCUGAUUGAAUUUAUAUGGUAUGUCAAGUGAAAAAAAAAAAAAUCACAAUAUAUACAUAAUACCACAAGGCUAAACACAAGCUAGGAUCUGGAGCUGACAUACAGAAUUGCUGGAUUGCAAAAAGCAGUGAAAAAACAAUGGCAGUGCAGCUCUUUGCAAAGCUAAGUAUUAAUUAAUGUAUGUUUGCAUUGUCUGGGCUGCAUAUCUUUAAGUUUAUUGACAUGAAAAUAUAUAAUUUCUUACUCAAAGCACUCUAAAAGCUUAUCGGAGCACAGUCGAAGAAAUUCAACUCAAUCCAGCACGUAAAUAAUUCUUGUCAUAUCUCAGAUGGAGAAGCAACUGGGAACACAAACUAAUGUUAUGCUAAUCCUAUAACGUGAUUAUCCAAAAGAUGCUCCUCAAUGACCCAGAUGUCAACCAACCAUUUUGCACUGGUGCUGUGAAGGAAGGCAGACUGUAAACUGACACAAUCUGCAGUGUGUUGUUAUACUGUGCUGCAGUGCCUGGUGUCAUCCUGAAGAUUGGUGUCUAUGUAUCAAUGUGAUAAACUGUGGUCAUACUGUGAUAACACAGCUGAUCAGCACUGAUAAUUUGAACAUAAAGUAUUAAACUAAACCAGCAGAUCCAGGCUCUUGACCUCCAUUAUUUAAAACAUCUCUCUGACACUGCAGUGAAUCACCCUUUUCCAUAACGUAAGUGUUAAUUACAUGAUGAUGUUUUCAGUCCUCCCGCAGUCGCAGAAGAACAUGAAAAUGUGCUUUUGACUGAGAGACACAAUUAUGUGAUUUACUACUUUAACAGAAUAUUCCCUAUAGCUAUACAGCUGCAUAACUUCACAUGAAGUAGACAACAUCAGAAUCAUGCCUUUAUCAAGGGAGUAAACUGCCUCUGUUUUAAAGGUCUAACGACAGAAUGUAAUAGGCUAGAUCAAUACAACCUGUUUUUUUUUUUCAGACCAUUAAAGCUUUGCUGCAGUUAGUCCUUAGUACAAAUGAUAUUCAGCACCUGGUUUCAAUUCAACCUAGCAUUAAGGUCUAAUUCAGUAAUUAAUGUAUUGGAACGAUCAAAAUCCUGUAAUGGAUUUUGUUCAAAGAGUUGUCAGGUUUUCACAGUAAAGAGCAAGAGAUUCCCUCUCCUGAACAGCACUGAACCACUUAAAAUUUUCUUAAUAAAACCCAGGAACUUGCAUUGUGCAGUAAAG